rnacentral:tRNA from 1 species
AGUCCUGUGGCCCAACGGAUAAGGCGUUGACCUCCAGAUCCAAAGAUUGUGGGUUCGAAUCCCAUCAGGAUCA